rnacentral:misc_RNA from 1 species
AAUACUUCAUUUGUUCAGAUACUGGCGAAUAAAACUCCAGGAAGGCCGUUAAUUUUAUUACUCUUGUGUGUGAAUCGUGUAAAAGCUAUCAGCCAUUAAAAUCACCCAAAGGUCCCUGCGAGUGUAUGAAACAAUGACGCGUCACGUGAUCCGAAUCCACCAUUUGUUCGCGCCACGAACCGGUGAGAGGCUCGCGCCAAAACCAAAUAUCAAUAACUUCACGCCGUUUAUUUCACAACCUGUGGAUUUGUUUACAUCGUAAAUGCAAGAAAUCUUCCUUGGGAAUUUGUAUGGUCAGCAUCAAAAACCCUUGGCUACUCACAGCGCUCCUAUGUUGUCUGUUGAGGCAGCGAUUCUGAGACGAUCGAACGAGCCAAAUGAGAUAUUCCGCCUGGACGUGUUGGUCAUAGAAUAUGAUGACUGCCGAUGGGCUGCCUCCAUCCAUUAAAGAUAAUGCAGUGAAAGACAUCGAGAAAGGUGUAGAUUUGAUAGAAGAGGUUUCUGGCAAAGAUUCGCAGAUUUUGCACGAAACACGGUCGCAGAAACAGGCUUCAAAGAAACGACUUCACGAAGACCAUGCGGAAACAUUAACAAAGGACUCAAGUUUUGCUGUAGCAUCUGAAACCUCGAAUAAUUCAGUCGGUGUUGCGACAAGAAGUAGUACAAGACCUAGUAAAAGACCAAAAUUAACAAUUUGUGCAGCUAAUGGAGUUGUAAACCAAGGUAUGCUACUUCUUAUAAUAAUUUACGUUUUGCACAAACGACACAAGAACUGCAAACCAGACCGCCAUUUUGAGCUGUAUGCGAAAUCGGUUCCCAUCGAUUUUUAGGCUAUCACUGAAAGUUAUUUGCUUCUUAUGGUUUGCAGUUCCUUGUUUCAUUUUAUCAUCGUUUUCGUUUUGAACUGGUGUUAAAAACUGCAAAAAUUCAGUUAAAGUUGUAGGCUGAUACACACUUUUGUUUACUGAUUGUCGAUGUUGGUUUGGUACACGUAUCACUUUAAUCAGGCUAUAACUAAGACAGAUAUACUUUCAUUCGUUCUAAAUAACAUUCCUUUGAAAUUCUGGAUUUCCAGUGAAAAUUACAAUGAAAUAUUUUGCCUUACUAGCUAUCAUGAAGAUUGUAAAUAAAAUUUGACAAUAUUCAUACUAUUUAUUAUUUCUACGUGGUCAGUGUUUUUACUGGGAUCUAGAUAACGUACAAUAAUAGUAAUAGUAAUUGAACCGAGUGGAGUACAAUUCAGGGAGUAACUGGUUGAGUAGUUUCAAAAUCGGACAAGCACACAGUGCGAGGCCAAUUUGAAAUUAUGAGCAGGAUUACAGUCAAACCUCCCGUAAGCGACCACCCAAAAUGUCGAGCCUAGGUGGUCGCUUACAGGAGGUGAUUGCUUAUGAGAGCUUAAACCGUAAUGGAUCAAAAUUUUUCCUCAUUUUGUAGUUC